ACACAUGCAAGUCGAGCGCACCCUUCGGGGUGAGCGGCGGACGGGUGAGUAACACGUGGGAACGUACCCAUUCCUGCGGGAUAGCCACUGGAAACGGUGAGUAAUACCGCAUACGCCCUUCGGGGGAAAGAUUUAUCGGGGAUGGAUCGGCCCGCGUCUGAUUAGGUAGUUGGUGGGGUAACGGCCUACCAAGCCUACGAUCAGUAGCUGGUUUGAGAGGAUGAUCAGCCACACUGGGACUGAGACACGGCCCAGACUCCUACGGGAGGCAGCAGUGGGGAAUCUUAGACAAUGGGGGCAACCCUGAUCUAGCCAUGCCGCGUGAGUGACGAAGGUCUUAGGAUCGUAAAGCUCUUUCGCCGGGGAAGAUAAUGACUGUACCCGGUAAAGAAGUCCCGGCUAACUCCGUGCCAGCAGCCGCGGUAAUACGGAGGGGACUAGCGUUGUUCGGAAUUACUGGGCGUAAAGCGCGCGUAGGCGGACUAUUAAGUCAGGGGUGAAAUCCCGGGGCUCAACCCCGGAACUGCCCUUGAUACUGGUAGUCUGGAGUUCUGGAGAGGUGAGUGGA
rnacentral:rRNA from 1 species